rnacentral:rRNA from 1 species
CCUACGGGAGGCAGCAGUGGGGAAUAUUGGACAAUGGGCGAAAGCCUGAUCCAGCAAUGCCGCGUGAGUGAUGAAGGCCUUAGGGUUGUAAAGCUCUUUUACCAGGGAUGAUAAUGACAGUACCUGGAGAAUAAGCUCCGGCUAACUCCGUGCCAGCAGCCGCGGUAAUACGGAGGGAGCUAGCGUUGUUCGGAAUUACUGGGCGUAAAGCGUGCGUAGGCGGUGAUUCAAGUCAGAGGUGAAAGCCUGGAGCUCAACUCCAGAACGGCCUUUGAAACUAGAUCGCUAGAAUUAUGGAGAGGUAAGUGGAAUUCCGAGUGUAGAGGUGAAAUUCGUAGAUAUUCGGAAGAACACCAGUGGCGAAGGCGACUUACUGGACAUAUAUUGACGCUGAGGUACGAAAGCGUGGGGAGCAAACAGGAUUAGAUACCCUGGUAGUCCACGCCGUAAACGAUGAUAACUAGCUGUUCGGGCUCUCAGAGCUUGAGUGGCGCAGCUAACGCAUUAAGUUAUCCGCCUGGGGAUACGGUCGCAAGNUUAAAACUCAAAGGAAUUGACGG